rnacentral:lncRNA from 1 species
AGAAAAUAUCCCUCAUCCCCAGAAUGUUUAUGGUAAUGGAAAAAUUUUCUCGGUAGUUCCUGCAAUUGCCCAUUACAUCAUCUCUCGAACCCAGAAAUAUAUCCCCCAUCUCCGGAAUUUUCUCGGUUAUCUGGGAAACUUUCCUCAUAGUUUUCAGGAAAAUGUGCCUCUCUGAAAGUCAUUUACCUAAGCCGUAAGUUUCCUGCAAAAUCAUGCUUUGGGAAUUAAUUUUAGAUAAAAUUUCAAUUACGGCUUUCAGAAAGUUCUGGGUUUCAAGGAAUCCGGCUAACGGAGAAGGCUGCUGUUCCUACCAGAAAUCAGUUUCAAAUGCGAGUAUGUGACAGACAAGAGGCAAGAGGAUGUCUUUUAAAUGCUUUUAACACCCUUAUUUACUUUCAUAAUGAACAAUUUCUUUCAAUUUUAAAUGAAUAAAGAGAUUUUAACACGUGCAUUUUUCAGUAUUUUACCCCUAAGAGCCAGGCAAAACCUUAAGGCCAUAAUUUUUGUUUUUCACAGGCAUAACCCUUCUAUUCUAGGCCUAAUGAUAAAACUUUGAAUAAGUUAGUAUCAACAUAAAAACAAUACUGUAACAAACUUCUAAGCCAUUGCAUAAUUUUUUGUCCUGCAGAUUGAUCCUGUAACACUUGGACCUCAUUUUCCAGUUACCCUGCAAUGGAACUUGUUGUAGCUUAUCUGCAUGAUCGAGCUUUACGACGUGAACGAAGGUAUCGGGACCCUUUGGAUCCCAUAAAUAUAAGCGAUGAAAAUCUAAUUAGAUAUUAUAGGUUUCCUCGAUGUGAAAUUCUAAGACUGUGUGAAGAGUUAGAUCCAUUUUUAAGGCGUAGAACGAGAAGAUCUCAUGCUGUUCCCAUACACACGCAAGUGUUAGUUGCUUUAAGAUUUUACGCCAGUGGAACCUUUCAACAUGUACUUGGUGAUACAGUUGGUCUUACCCAAGCUAGUGUCAGUAGAAUUAUUAGAGAUGUGACCCAAAUUCUCACAGAAAGGGCAAGAUUUGAAAUAAAGAUGCCAACAGGUAAUGUACAAAUAGCAAGAACUGUGCAAGGUUUUGCCAGAAUAAGAAACCUUCCAAGAGUCAUUGGUGCAAUUGAUGGAACACACAUACCCAUAAAAGCCCCAAUUGAAAAUGAAGGAACAUAUGUAAACAGGAAGCGAUACCACUCUCAAUGUACAAGUAGUAUGUAAUGCCGAUGGGUUGAUCACAAACUACAGCACCAAGUAUCCAGGUUGUAAACAUGACGCCUUCAUCUGGGCCAACUGCUUACUUCGCCGUCGCUUUGAGGCUGGUGAUUUUGGUGAUAAUUAUUUGAUUGGUGACAGUGGGUACCCAUUAGAGGCAUUCCUCAUGACACCAUUCAGAAACCCCUCAACCCCUGGAGAAGUUAGGUAUAACAACAGCCAUACCAAAACCCGCGUAGUUGUAGAGCAAACUUUUGGUGUCCUAAAAUCACGAUUUAGAUGCCUUCACCGUUCUGGUGGAUCACUUCAAUACGAUCCUUCCAAAUGUGCCAAAAUUGUAAAUGCAUGUUUCCUUCUUCACAAUUAUUGUUUAAUGAGAAGGGUACCACUUCCCCACGACAUGGUCGACGAUGAUGGAGAGAUUGACAAUCCAGCUGAAGCUGUAGCAGGGACAGGCCAAGCAGUCAGAGCCAAUGUAGUCCGUAAUUGGUUUACUUGAUGAAUUAAAAUCAAAUAUCAAUUCACCAAUACAUUUUUCCUCUAUGUUUAAAUAGUAUUUUUUAGUGCAGUAUACAGAGGUAAUGCGAAUAAAGCGUACAUUGAUUUAACUUUUAUUUUCAAUAUACUGUACAUAAUAAAAUAAACUUCUUUAUAGAAAUUAAA